rnacentral:misc_RNA from 1 species
CCGAAAGGUAUAUCAUUGAUCUUGACUUUCGGAGCCACUUUGAAAUUGCAAGAGCAGUCAAAUCCUACAAUGUGGUCUUGAGUUGUCUUCCACCAGUUUAUGUUGGCACAGUAACAAAACUUAAGCUGUAUCUUCAGGCUAUGGUAGAAGCAGCUAAAUGUUCACUCAAACAGAAUUCCAUGCCUCUUCCUCCAUGGCGAUCCCUUGCCUAUUUAGAAGCCAAGUGGGAAUCCAGUCACAAAGUAGCCAAUGUUCAGGUUCAGAGUAGCGUCAGCUCCUCUAAUUCCUCUCAUCGGCAUUGUACUGAGCUGUUGUGGAGGAUAAAAUCCUGCAUUGGAUCUGAAAUUAAAGCCAAAGGAUUCGUGGUACUUAAGAACUGUAGAAAGAGG